rnacentral:rRNA from 1 species
UUGGCCUCGGGUCGGACAAGAUUACCCGCUGAACUUAAGCAUAUCAAUAAGCGGAGGAAAAGAAACCAACAGGGAUUGCCUUAGUAACGGCGAGUGAAGCGGCAACAGCCCAGAUUUGUAAUCUGGCCUCCUCGUCGGGGGUCCGACUUGUAAUCUGCAGAUGGGUUUUCCGGCGACGCGCGCGUCCAAGUUCCCUGGAAUGGGAUGCCUUAGAGGGUGAGAGCCCCGUACAGGCGCGUGCCGAGCCUCCGUGAGGCCCAUUCGACGAGUCGAGUAGUUUGGAAAUGCUGCUCUAAUCGUGGGGUAAAUCUCCCAUAAGGCUAAAUAUCGGCCGGAGACCGAUAGCGCACAAGUAGCGUGAGCGAAAGAUGAAAAGAGCCUUGGAUAAGGGCGUCAAAAAGCAUGUGAAAUUGUUGUGGGGGAAGCGCUCGUCGCCAGACGUGGCGGCGGCUGGUUAACCGGCGUCCUCGCCGGCUCACUCUGCCCGCCGCCAGGCCAGCACCGGCUCGGACCGGGGCUCAAUGCCAGCGGGAAUGUGGCUCCCUUCGGGGAGUGUUAUAGCCCGUCGGCGACGCCCUGAACCGGGCCGAGGAUCGCGCAUCUGCUCGGAUGCUGGCUUAAUGGCGCCUAGCGACCCGUCUUGAAACACGGACCAAGGAGUUGACCUGGCGCGCGAGUGUUCGGGUGUCAAGCCCCUACGCGUAGUGAAAGCGAACGCUGGUGGGAGCCCUUUAGGGUGCACCAUCGACCGAUCCUGAAGUUUACAGAUGGAUUUGAGUAGGAGCGCGCCGGGUCUGACCCGAAAGAAGGUGAACUAUGCAUGAAUAGGGUGAAGCCAGAGGAAACUCUGGUGGAGGCUCGCAGCGGUUCUGACGUGCAAAUCGAUCGUCAAAUUUGUGCAUGGGGGCGAAAGACCAAUCGAACCUUCUAGUAGCUGGUUCCUGCCGAAGUUUCCCUCAGGAUAGCAGAGUUGGGGCCUCAGUUUCAUGAGGUAAAGCGAAUGAUUAGAGACCAGGGGGCGCUAUUUAGCCUUCAUCUAUUCUCAAACUUUAAAUAUGUGAGAAGCCUUGUGUUACUUUUUUGAACGCAGGCGAGCGAAUGAACCAACUCUAGUGGGCCAUUUUUGGUAAGCAGAACUGGCGAUGUGGGAUGAACCAUACGGGGACUUAAGGCGCCGGAGUGGACGCUCAUCAGACACCACAAAAGGUGUUGGCACAUCUAGACAGCAGGACGGUGGCCAUGGAAGUCGGAAUCCGCUAAGGACU